rnacentral:rRNA from 1 species
UGGGGAAUAUUGCACAAUGGGGAAGCCCUGAUGCAGCGACGCCGCGUGAGCGAAGAAGUAUUUCGGUAUGUAAAGCUCUAUCAGCAGGGAAGAUAAUGACGGUACCUGACUAAGAAGCCCCGGCUAACUACGUGCCAGCAGCCGCGGUAAUACGUAGGGGGCAAGCGUUAUCCGGAUUUAUUGGGUUUAAAGGGAGCGUAGGUGGACUGGUAAGUCAGUUGUGAAAGUUUUGCGGCUCAACCGUAAAAUUGCAAUUGAUACUGGCGUCCUUGAGUACAGUUGAGGUGGGCGGAAUUCGUGGUGUAGCGGUGAAAUGCUUAGAUAUCACGAAGAACUCCUAUUGCGAAGGCAGCUCACUAAACUGCAACUGACAUUGAGGCUCGAAAGCGUGGGGAGCAAACAGGAUUAGAUACCC